UGCAGUCGAACGAAGCAAUUGCGACAGAAGCCUUCGGGUGGAAGAUGUAAUUGACUGAGUGGCGGACGGGUGAGUAACGCGUGGGUAACCUGCCUUGUACAGGGGGAUAACAGUUAGAAAUGACUGCUAAUACCGCAUAAGCGCACAGUAUCGCAUGGUACAGUGUGAAAAACUCCGGUGGUACAAGAUGGACCCGCGUCUGAUUAGCUAGUUGGUAAGGUAACGGCUUACCAAGGCAACGAUCAGUAGCCGACUUGAGAGAGUGAUCGGCCACAUUGGGACUGAGACACGGCCCAAACUCCUACGGGAGGCAGCAGUGGGGAAUAUUGCACAAUGGGGGAAACCCUGAUGCAGCGACGCCGCGUGAGUGAAGAAGUAUUUCGGUAUGUAAAACUCUAUCAGCAAGGAAGAUAAUGACGGUACUUGACUAAGAAGCCCCGGCUAACUACGUGCCAGCAGCCGCGGUAAUACGUAGGGGGCAAGCGUUAUCCGGAUUUACUGGGUGUAAAGGGAGCGUAGACGGUAUGGUAAGUCAGAUGUGAAAGCCCGGGGCUUAACCCCGGAACUGCAUUUGAAACUGUCGUACUAGAGUGUCGGAGAGGCAAGUGGAAUUCCUAGUGUAGCGGUGAAAUGCGUAGAUAUUAGGAGGAACACCAGUGGCGAAGGCGGCUUACUGGACGAUAACUGACGUUGAGGCUCGAAAGCGUGGGGAGCAAACAGGAUUAGAUACCCUGGUAGU
rnacentral:rRNA from 1 species